rnacentral:lncRNA from 1 species
UUCCACAAAGGAUCUUUUUUUGACCAUUUUUAGGGAUCACUUAUUAGACCCACAUUUUGGCAUAUCUACUGUUCAAUUUUUAGGUCCUAAUGCAUAGAUCACCUCUGCAAAUUUUCAUACAAGUACUUUAUUCAGAUAUUACUCGAGUUGAAAGUUACAAAGAGGAUAGUUUCACUUUUUCAAACAGAUCAUCCAAGCCUCACUAAAGCACGAGCAUAAGUUCAGAAACCUGCAGCAAGAACCAAAACAAUAACCAAAAGGUAAGGGACCAAGUGUGUAUAUAUAUAGGCCUUUUGCUCUCCUGCCAUAUGGUAGAUCUUUAAGUACUCACCACCAGGGAACCAAUGUCAAACUUUUAUACAGUUAACAUGACCUGGAAAUUUGCAGAAGAAGCAAAAACAUUAAUAGCACAUGAUAUGUAUGUGCAUUAGAACAUCUAACACAUAAUUGAAAGAUAGACUGGUGGAAAGCAUGCGUUUGCAUGUCCUAGAAACGGAAAAACAAAUUCCAGCUCAUUUUUGGAAAGUAAGCAGAUGACCUAUAAAAAUUCAUUUUGUCAUACUUGGUGAGAGUUGGGAAAAAGGUAAAUUUGAUAAUAAACCCACAUUCCUUCCUCUCUUCAGCUCAUCCAAUUUAAUUUGAUCCCUAACUAUCAGAAUAUUCAACAGACUGACCAUCAACUAAGCCAACAUAUUCCUUAUUAACAGGCCAAUAUGUGUUGUCGGCAUACAGAGGAAGAAAAACGAAAAGUAAAG